UGGGGAAUCUUGGACAAUGGGGGGCAACCCUGAUCCAGCCAUGCCGCGUGAGUGAUGAAGGCCUUAGGGUCGUAAAGCUCUUUCGCCUGUGAAGAUAAUGACGGUAGCAGGUAAAGAAACCCCGGCUAACUCCGUGCCAGCAGCCGCGGUAAUACGGAGGGGGUUAGCGUUGUUCGGAAUUACUGGGCGUAAAGCGCACGUAGGCGGACCAGAAAGUUGGGGGUGAAAUCCCGGGGGCUCAACCCCGGAACUGCCUCCAAAACUAUUGGUCUAGAGUUCGAGAGAGGUGAGUGGAAUUCCAAGUGUAGAGGUGAAAUUCGUAGAUAUUUGGAGGAACACCAGUGGCGAAGGCGGCUCACUGGCUCGAUACUGACGCUGAGGUGCGAAAGUGUGGGGAGCAAAACAGGAUUAGAUACCCUGGGUAGUCCCACACCGUAAAACGAUGAAUGCCAGUCGUCGGGUAGCAUGCUAUUCGGUGACACACCUAACGGAUUAAGCAUUCCGCCUGGGGAGUACGGUCG
rnacentral:rRNA from 1 species